CAUAUCAAUAAGCGGAGGAAAAGAAACCAACAGGGAUUGCCCCAGUAACGGCGAGUGAAGCGGCAACAGCUCAAAUUUGAAAUCUGGCCCCCAGGGUCCGAGUUGUAAUUUGUAGAGGAUGCUUUGGGCGAGGUGCCUUCCGAGUUCCCUGGAACGGGACGCCACAGAGGGUGAGAGCCCCGUCUGGUCGGACACCGAGCCUCUGUAAAGCUCCUUCGACGAGUCGAGUAGUUUGGGAAUGCUGCUCAAAAUGGGAGGUAUAUGUCUUCUAAAGCUAAAUAUUGGCCAGAGACCGAUAGCGCACAAGUAGAGUGAUCGAAAGAUGAAAAGCACUUUGAAAAGAGGGUUAAAAAGUACGUGAAAUUGUUGAAAGGGAAGCGCCCAUGACCAGACUUGGGCCCGGUGAAUCAUCCAGCGUUCUCGCCGGUGCACUUUGCCGGGCACAGGCCAGCAUCAGUUCGGGGCGGGGGACAAAGGCUCUGGGAAUGUGGCUCCCCCGGGAGUGUUAUAGCCCACCGCGUAAUACCCUGCGCCGGACUGAGGUACGCGCAUUCGCAAGGAUGCUGGCGUAAUGGUCAUCAGCGACCCGUCUUGAAACACGGACCAAGGAGUCGUCUUCGUAUGCGAGUGUUCGGGUGUCAAACCCCUACGCGGAAUGAAAGUGAACGCAGGUGAGAGCUUCGGCGCAUCAUCGACCGAUCCUGAUGUUCUCGGAUGGAUUUGAGUAAGAGCAUACGGGGCCGGACCCGAAAGAAGGUGAACUAUGCCUGUAUAGGGUGAAGCCAGAGGAAACUCUGGUGGAGGCUCGCAGCGGUUCUGACGUGCGAAUCGAUCGUCAAAUAUGGGCAUGGGGGGCGAAAGACUAAUCGAACCUUCUAGUAGCUGGUUU
rnacentral:rRNA from 1 species